GUGCUCGCUUCGGCAGCACAUAUACUAAAAUUGGAACGAUACAGAGAAGAUUAGCAUGGCCCCCUGCGCAAAUAAUAUUACAAAGGAUAUACUUGGGUAUUUA